GGAAGGAUCAUUAACAAAUCAGUUGUGGAGGUGGUGGGAAUAGGGGAAGGUAGCUCUUAGGAUAGAGAUAUCCGAGGGGAUAUCCUUUCUCUUUGCCAUCACCAUCACAUAACAUUGACUCGGACUUGAUGUGUGUGUAAUACUAUGUAUCACAUGUGCACCAAGUCUUGAGCAAUAUUCACGCUUGUUGUGUUUGACUGAGUUAUGUCAAAGGAAAUAUAGACAACUUUUAACAAUGGAUCUCUUGGCUCUUGCAACGAUGAAGAACGCAGUAAAGUGCGAUAUGUAGUGCGAUUUGCAUGAAUCUGUGAGUCAUCAAAUUUUUUAACGCAACUUGCACCUCUUGGGUAACUGAGAGGUAUGUCUGUUUGAGUAUCUAAUAACAACUUGCCACUAAUAAGGGGCAGACUUGAGGCCUUCAUGGCAUGUGCUGUGGGCCUUUAAAGGUAGCAAGCUAAAGGCAUAGAGAACCUUGGCUAUGUGCUAGAGACCUAUGGUCUUGUCAUAGCAAAGUGUUUUGUAUGCUGAAUGGUGUGUGUGUGUUGAGUGUAAGAGUGAGAAGGGGGCGGUUGGUGUAGUGUACAAGUGUGGUAUAGUGUGGGCAUACUUAGGGUGUAUGUGGAUAUACUUACGGUGUAUUCACGUAUAUUACGGUAUACUCUGUAUACUCGCUUGCUUGCUAUAUCUUCCUACCUUACCUUUAUCCUCUAACACCGCGCACACAUCUCCACUAUUAUCAUUCGGGUCUCAAAUCAGGCAAGACUACCCGCUGAACUUAAGCAUAUCAGUAAGCGGAGGAAAAGAAACUAACAAGGAUUCCCUCAGUAGCGGCGAGUGAAGCGGGAAUAGCUCAAAUUUAGAAUCUGGACGGUUAGACCGUUCCGAAUUGUAGUCUAAAGAGGGUGAUCGAGGCAGUUAGGGCAGGACCAAGUCCCUUGGAAGAGGGCGCCUAAGAGGGUGAGAGCCCCGUUUAGUCCUGACCUGGCGCCCAACAUGAGAGCCCUUCUAAGAGUCGAGUUGUUUGGGAAUGCAGCUCAAAGUGGGUGGUAAAUCUCAUCUAAGGCUAAAUAUUGGCAAGAGACCGAUAGCGAACAAGUACCGUGAGGGAAAGAUGAAAAGCACCUUGAAAAGGGAGUUAAAUAGUGCGUGAAAUUGUUAAAAGGGAAACGAUUGAGGCCAGUAUUGUCUGCGAGUAGUAAUGUCUAUCUCUUGGGAUGGACAAAGCCUUGUAGGCGAGUCAAUGACUGUUAGGACUCUUCAAGACUGGUCUUGGGAAGGUGGGGUUGCUCUUCGGGGCUUCUCUUUAUAGACCUUGACCAACGGAGGAGUGACUGACAGAGCCAGUUACUGGCCACGACUGACUAGCGCUAGGCCUUGCUUUUGUUGCCCCUCGGGACGGACUGCAUGCAGACCGAACCAGCAAGCAACAGAAGCAAGUCUAGGAUGUUAGGUCUGCAUUGACGAAAUGGACUUAAACGACCCGUCUUGAAACACGGACCAAGGAGUCUAACAUGUAUGCAAGUAUUAGAGUGGCAAACUCGUAUGCAUAAUGAAAGUGAAUUCUGCGAGCGUUAGAAAGCAAAAACCUUUUCGACGCGCAGCAGAGACCGGCCUCGAUAUCUCUUGACAGGACCGAGUAAGAGCUUAUAUGUUGGGACCCGAAAGGUGGUGAACUAUGCCUGACUAGGGCGAAGCCAGAGGAAACUCUGGUGGAGGCUCGUAGCCGUUCUGACGUGCAAAUCGAUGGUAAAAGUUGGGUAUAGGGGCGAAAGACUAAUCGAACCACCUAGUAGCUGGUUCCCUC
rnacentral:misc_RNA from 1 species